rnacentral:lncRNA from 1 species
UUUUAUGUGGUCCGAGUUGAGAGUCCCUUCAAUGCCAUCUUGGGGAGACCUGUUCUCACUGCUUUCGAAGCCAUUGCCUCUAUUCCCCAUCUUAAGUUGAAGUUCCCGACCGAAAAGGGGGUGGGAGAGAUGAGAGGUGAUCAGAAGGCAGCUAGGAUCAUUAUGCUGGAAGACUUGGAGAAAGAAAAGGAUCUAGGUGGCGCCGAAGGAAACAAACGGCGCCGAACCGAAGAUGGUCCUGGGGGCAGCGGCCAUGCCCUCCAUAUUGAGUUGGAGAAGUUUGGAAAUGAUCUCUCAAACCCGAUAGCCGAACCGGGCACCGAAACCGAAGAGGUGGAAUUGUAUGCAGGGUGCUCGGGAAAAAUGGUUCGGAUCGGUAAAGAUAUGGAGCCAGGGUUGAAGGAAAAAGUGAUUGAUGUGGUCCGUCGCUACCAUGAUGUUUUUGCCUGGGGAGUCUUCUAUGUGUCUCAUAUGCUGAGGGAUGCCGAAACCCGAUACCCGAAUGCCGAGAAGUUCGCAUAUGGGCUGGUCAUGGCCUCCCGAAAAUUGCGACACUAUUUUCAAGGGCGAACGAUACAAGUGGUCACCGACCAACCUCUGAAGAAGAUUCUCAGCCGACCGGAGGCUUCGGGCAGAGUCGUCGCCUGGUCUGUAGAAUUGGGGGAAUACGACUUAGAGUAUGUUCCCCGAACAGCCAUUAAAGCCCAAGCCUUGGUUGACUUCAUGGUAGAGUGCCGUUUUUCCGGGCCGACGGACUUGGAACCGAAGGAACAGCUCAUUCGGACUCCUGGUAGGUGGAAGUUGUUUGUGGAUGGGUCGGUGGCCGGGUCAAAAUGUGGGGCCGGAUUGAUCCUUUCUAGUCCCGAUGGAUUUGAGAUUUGUCAAGCCAUCCGGUUCACUUUCCCUUUGACCAACAAUGAGGCCGAGUACGAAGCCCUCUUGGCAGGAGUGGGUCUAGCCAAAAAUCUGGAGGUAAGGCACUUGAGGGCUUUCAGCGACUCCAUGCUGGUUGUCAAGCACUUUUCUGGGGAGUAUGAACAGAAAGAGCCCCGAACGAAGGCUUACGCCGCUAAAGUACGCGAACAAACUCAGUUUUUCGAAACAUUUGAAUUGAGCGCCAUCGGUCGGGAAGACAAUGGCCGCGCCGAUGCUCUCUCUCGAUUAGCCUCGGCCGAAACACAGAAUUUGACGGGGUCCAUCUACUUGACGGAGGUAAAAAUGCCUUCGGUCGACAAGAAAGCUUGCCUGGAAAUUCAUCAAGGCAUAAAUUGGAUGACCCCCAUCAGAGCAUACUUGGAAAAAGGGUUCUUGCCCUUAGAGAAGAAGGAAGCCCAAAAGAUAAAGUACCGAGCAGCUAGCUACACACUGAUCGGGGGCCGACUCUUUAGGCGAUCAGUCUCUCAGCCGCUGCUCCGAUGCUUAGAUCCAGAAGAACAACUUCUAGCCCUGGAGACAGUUCAUGAAGGCAUCUGCGGCGAGCACCUGGCCGGCCGAUCCCUAGCCCUAAAGAUACUCCGACAGGGAUUCUUUUGGCCGACCAUCAGAGAAGAUGCAGCCAACUAUUCAAAGAAAUGCCGACAGUGUCAAAUCCACAGCAAUGUUCCGAAGCAACCCCCGGAAGAAAUGACUUCGGUCCUCAGCCCAAUCCCUUUCUCCAUGUGGGCCAUCGACAUAGUCGGAAUCCUACCAACCAGCACCCGGCAAGCCAAACAUAAAGGUUGCGACAACAAAAGUAUGGAGACCGACCGGUCGAAGACAUACACUAUCUAAGACAUACAUCAGAAACAAAAACAUGUAUGGAGAUAAAACCAAGUAUGAAAAGCAAGCCCGAAGGCAAAAUUAAUUAGAAGCCCGAAGGCGAAAUAUUUAUACAAAGCCCGAAGGCAGAUCGUUUUUACAAAUAAUGGCCCGAAGGCCAAUGAAAGUACAAAAUUAGAAUUACUCCGAGUAGUCAGUCUCGGGAUCGGAUGAAACAACAAGGGGUUCGUCCGGAUCCUCACGGCCGACCGGAUCAGAAGCUCCUUCGUCCAAAAGUAACUUGUGAUCCAAGCCUUCCUUGUGAGCCCGACGGACCGCCUCGUCAUAUCCAAUGUCGAGGAACCGAUCCUCGGUCUUCUCAAGAAGCUUCCUCGUCUUCUUCUCCUUCUUUCGGGCAGCCUUCAACGCCAGGUUGCGGCGCUGAACCCUCCUGGUCAGAGUAUCGACUUGCCCCUUCAGACGGCCUUCCGACUCCCGAAGGUCCUUCAGGUCCUGGUGGGCAGCAUCCAGCUCCGUCUUCAGGGCCGCCAGGGUAUCUUCAGCUAGAUUGGCUCGAAUAGUAAGGGCGUUCACCCCAGCCAUCUGCUUCUGCAUGUCCUGGACCUUAUCAGUCACCGCCGCCGCCCAAGGAGAAGCCUGCACAUAAAUGGACAAGUUAAAAAAGAUAUACCGGGCCCAUAAAGUGGAAGGGACUAAAGGAUGAGAACACUUACCAGAGAUAGGAAGCACAUCAGCUGCUCGCACGCUUGCAGAGCAGUCGCCGACUCAUAGGUCCCCCGGUCGGCCGGCAACAUUUGCGAUCGGCAGAGAUCGCCCGCAACUUCCUUGAUCCGAUCAGGAGCCUGGAUCGCAAUCGAAUCGGUCGCCAAAACCGACCACUCCGGAAUGUAAGGCCGGACCUCCGAUGAACCGUCCGGCCUGUUCCUCUUCCUAGAGGCUUCGGCGGCCGGAAUCUCCACCACCUCGGAGGCUUUCUCAACCGUCCCCUCCGCACGACCAACCUCCGGGGUCUUCUCCUUCGCCACAUCCGCCUGGACUAUGGCACCAACUGUUGUUUCGCCGCGGGCCUUUGCUUCGGCCUCCUUCUUUGCCGCCAUGGCCUUCGCCGUCUUCCUCUUCAGGGCUUCGGUUCGGGAAGACACUGCACAAAGAAGACAGCGUUAAAACAAUAAACAGGUACAAAUCAAGUGAUCAACUAUCGAGGGAAAAGCAAAGAAGAAAUAGAAAGACUACCGUCACUACCCCAAAGAGUGAAGAGCCACUCCUUCUCCCGACUGGUCGACAGCAGAAUCCGGUUCGGCUCCUGGACUUUGUUCAAUUUCUCAAAGUCCUCCAGGUCCUUACCGACCAGAGGGGGAGUGGUGAUGAUGGAGGGGUCUACCUCCCUCCACAGAGAGAACUUGUGGAUCGAGUGACCCCCCAGGUAGAACCACCGUUCGUGGGUACCCUUGUUGCUCGAGUUGGUUUCACACCAAUUCGGUCGGCCGGUCUUGCGGCCGAUGGUAUAAAAGCCAUUGCUCUUGGCGUUUUUCUUGAAAUCAUGAUGAUUCCAGAAGAGAGCUGGCCGAGGAGACACGCCGGCCAUCAGACACCGAUGCUGGAAUACGUUUAUGUACGUAAAUCCGUUCGGGUCCAACUGGCCUAAGGCGAUCCCCGUCUGCUUCAGAAGUUUCUUCAGCAGGGGGAGCAUCGGGAGCCGAAAGCCGCACUUAAAGGCGUUUUCGGAGAUGCCCACACACUUGUGCCCUUCUUCCGACUCAGGUGUUUGGUAGAUACAAUCGCUCUCUAUGGCUGGAUAAAUAUCCCACGACCGAUGUAUCUGGUACUUUAUCCGAAACGACUUCAGAUCCGCUUCGGUCAGUAAGGAAGGAAAGUUGGCCAUAGGAAACUUCAGCACAUCGCUAAAGUGAUCCGCGGCCGAAUAAGACGUCCCGACUAUGUCACCCGACCGAUCCAUUUGCCUGCAAACGAGAGAAGGCAAACAUGAGCCAUGUACUCGGAAAGAAAGAAAAAGAAGAAAAAGAAGCAAGCCCGAGUACAGAGGGCCGAAUCGGGUCGGGCCAGCAGGACUCGACUAACCUAACCCUAGAAAGCCGACUCAGGCAACAAACAUUCAAAACUCAAACAAGAAUUAAAGCACAAAUAACACAAUAAGUGGAGGAAGCGACGGCGACAAGUCACCGGUUAUAAACUCAGAGACCGCCGGAAAACCCCUACUGCGAUCCUGAUCUACGACUACCAGUACAAUGCAAGCACAUAACAAGAACAAAAAACCCCCCAAAAAUCGGUAAGCCGGCGGGACAACUCCUACCAGGAAAGAAAAUACGCAAAGCAACAAAAUACAGUGCACUAACAUCUAGCAGCAUCCUAAACAUAAAGGAUGAUAACUGACAAAGAGGGGAGAACAACUUACUUGUCGUAGAAGAGAUGUGGAGAAAACGGGUGAAAGAAGCCGGAAAAAGAACCACCGCCGGUUAACAACUAUCGCCUGGGAGCAAGAAGCUUGAGAGAAUGGAGAGUUGAGAGGAAAACAAGAGGAUAUUGGAAAUAUGAAAAGAAACGGGUGGUAAUGAUUUGUAUUUAUAAACGAAUUGUGAAAAGGCGCGCCCUAUUAAUGGCACCCUUUGGAAUGCACGGCCCAGAUUCAGCGCGUAUCUCGAGGCCACGCCAUCCGGCGCCCAAACGACACCACGCGUCCAUCGGACCAAGCAUUUUGAAAUCAGACCGAAACAACUGCUCAGCUCCCACUACAGCCUCACCCUGUCGGUCGGUCAAAGACAACUUAGGCUUCGGCCGCGUUUGAAACCCGACCGAAGCCUGAGGAGAUGUUGGGUUAUAAGCCUUUCGGCCCAAUCCAUUACGGCCCAAAGCAGGUCCAGCCCACCGUUUGAACUUAAACGUUACUAUGGCAACGGUCGAGGCGAGAGAAUCCCGCCUCCUUUACUCAUCAUAACUUCCCUCCCGCAUCGGGCGGGAACGUUACAUAGCAGGGCUCCUCCUCCUCCUAUAAAAAGUGGGUAAAUCAGUGGUAAAAUUCAUUCACAACUUUAUACAUUCUUACAUACUCGCUUGCAGUUCUCUAAACCCUUCCUAGAGCCACUAAUUUAUUCUCACACCGGAGGUGAAUCGGGGGGACAAACCCUCGCAUUCUUCUCUGUUUCAGGUCAUACUUCGGCUUUGGUAUCCGGCAGAACUUUGGCUCUAACAUUGGCGCCGUCUGUGGGAAACUGCAAGUAGAAUUUCUCAUAAAUCAACACCAUGACAAACACCACCGAACAAACCACUGGAAAUACCUCCAACCCAAACCCAGGUUUCGACUUUGGCAAUAGUCCCGAAGGGCUGUUGCCCACCCCCGAAGAACAACAGCAGAUGCUGUUGAAAUGGCGAGAAGAGCAGGCUGCUAAAGCCCAAUCUUCCAAGACCAAGGAGCAAGAAGCUGCCCGACUAGCCAAGAAGAGGGAAGCCGACGAACUCCGGCUGAAGGCCCUCCAGCUACAAAGGGAAGAGAUUGAGCUCCAAGAGAGAGCCCUCCGAGAGGCCUUGGAGGCCGAAGGAGAUCGAGUGCCGGAAGGCGAAGGAAAUAAGAAGAGGAAUCGGGAAGACCAAGACGGGUCUUCGGACUCCGAGUCGCAUUCCCGAGGGCCUCGUCACAGGCAUGUCACACCUUCGGAUACCGAAGGAGAGGAAGGUCCCCACGUUAGGGACCGACUUCGCCGAAUGGAGAAGGCCAUGUUUGGGGACAAGACGUUGACCCAUGAGCCAGUGAUAGUCGAGGAGAUCGAGCAAUAUCGGCCGCCCCCGGGUAGACAGUUCCCGAAGAUGAAUGAAUUUAACGGGAAGGGCGACCCGAUCGAUCACUGCGACAAAUACGAGUCCCUGAUGACUGGAAUGGGACAUUGUGACAUCAUGCUAUGCAAGAUGUUUAAGACCUACCUGAAGGGAUCCGCUACGAUGUGGUACCGAUCCCUACGACCAAGGUCGGUCAGUUCUUAUGAUCAAUUGAAACGCAAGUUUUUGAGGCACUACUCUCACUUGUGCCGAAGAGAGAAGGAUACAGAAGCCCUAAUUCAUUGCCGACAGAGACCCAAUGAGGAGUUGGGCGACUACUUGGCCAGGUUCAAGGAAGAAGCUGGGAUGGUCACUAAUCUGGAUAAGGUGAAGGCUGCAGGGUUCCUGACGGCCGGUCUGGAUCCGGUGAAGGGUAAGAAGCUCCGAUCAUCUUUGUAUGAUAUACCCCCUAAAUCGCUGAAUGACAUCUAUUUGCGGGGAGAAAGCAUCAGAAGGAAGAUGGAAUCCAUCGGGGGACACAAGAGCGAUCGGAAAGAUGAUCGGUACAGUUCCCGUUCGGACGGCAGGGGAAAAAGGAAUGAUAGCCACCGAGGCAGGAGAGAUGAAAGGGAUGAAAAGCUGGAUCGGGGGGCCGAACGAAGGAGAGAUAGAGACAGCACUGUGUUCACUCCUCUGAAUACAUCUGUCUCCAAGAUUCUUAACGAAAUUAAAGGAAAACCAGGAUUCGUUCGGCCGCCGAAGAUGAAGAUCCCAGAUUACAAGAAAAACUCUGAUAAGUAUUGCGACUAUCAUCGUGACAACGGGCACAAUACCGAUGAAUGCUACCACUUGAAGAAGUUAAUAGAGAGGAUGGUCAAGGCUGGAGAUUUGAACCAGUAUGUUAAGGAUCUGAGGGAUCGGUUGGGUCCCAAAGAAGAUAAAGGGAAGGCGCCCGAAGAAGGUGAGAGGUACAGAGGUGAGGUCCGAACGAUUUUCGGGGGAACAAUUCUGGACCGAAGUAGCAAAACGGCUAAGAAGAAGUACGCCCGACAGGUCUACAACCUCUAUAGCAUCAACUCCACCAAACAGUCGUAUCCUAUAAUGUUUUCACAAGAAGAUUAUGAGGAUGUUAUGCUGCCGCACGAGGAUCCGUUGGUCAUUAAUCCCGUGAUCGGCCAAAACAAGAUCUGGAAGGUUCUGGUUGACGGGGGAAGUUCUGUUAACGUCCUCUACUACAACACCUACCAGAAGAUGAACCUGGAAGGCAAGCAGAUCGAUACCUGCUAUGAGGCACCCCUCUAUGGCUUCGGCAAUCAGCCGGUCCCGAUCGAAGGUACGAUCCACUUGCCCCUAUUGCUCGGUAAAUCCCCUUAUACUGUGGAAAAACAGGUCAAGUUUUAUGUGGUCCGAGUUGAGAGUCCCUUCAAUGCCAUCUUGGGGAGACCUGUUCUCACUGCUUUCGAAGCCAUUGCCUCUAUUCCCCAUCUUAAGUUGAAGUUCCCGACCGAAAAGGGGGUGGGAGAGAUGAGAGGUGAUCAGAAGGCAGCUAGGAUCAUUAUGCUGGAAGACUUGGAGAAAGAAAAGGAUCUAGGUGGCGCCGAAGGAAACAAACGGCGCCGAACCGAAGAUGGUCCUGGGGGCAGCGGCCAUGCCCUCCAUAUUGAGUUGGAGAAGUUUGGAAAUGAUCUCUCAAACCCGAUAGCCGAACCGGGCACCGAAACCGAAGAGGUGGAAUUAUAUGCAGGGUGCUCGGGAAAAAUGGUUCGGAUCGGUAAAGAUAUGGAGCCAGGGUUGAAGGAAAAAGUGAUUGAUGUGGUCCGUCGCUACCAUGAUGUCUUUGCCUGGGGACCCGAGGAUAUGCCAGGGUUGGAUGAGUCGAUCGCUCGGCACAGGCUAAAUGUUCAUCCUCAGGCUGUGCCCGUGAAGCAGAAGAAGAGGAACUUCGCGGUGGAGAGGCAAAAAGUGAUUGAGGCCGAAGUGGAGAAGUUACUGGAGGCCAAGUUCAUCGAAGAAAUCGAGUAUCCAGAGUGGUUGGCAAAUGUGGUGGUGGUCAAAAAGUCAAACAACAAGUGGAGAAUGUGUGUCGAUUAUACCGACCUCAACAAGAAUUGCCCGAAGGAUCACUAUCCUUUGCCGAACAUCGAUCAGCUGAUAGAUGCCACCUCUGGCUAUCAAAUACUCAGCUUUUUGGAUGCAUUCUCAGGGUAUCAUCAGAUCGCCAUGGAUGCCGAGGAUAUUCCGAAGACAGCAUUCAUCACCCCGAAGGGAACCUAUGCUUACAUCAAGAUGCCCUUCGGCCUGAAAAAUGCGGGGGCCACUUUUCAAAGGAUGGUGAACAAAGUCUUCGCCGAUCAGAUAGGCCGAAACAUGGAAUGUUACGUAGAUGAUAUGAUAGUGAAGUCCUUAUUUCAAGAUCACGCCGAUGACCUCAAGGAAUGCUUCGAGACCCUAAGACGGAACAACAUGAAGAUCAACCCCGCCAAGUGCACCUUCGGGGUUUGUAGUGGCAAGUUCCUAGGGUACAUGGUCAGCGCAAGGGGGAUCGAGGCGAAUCCCGAGAAGAUAAAGGCAGUGAUAGAAAUGGAAGCCCCGAAGACCAUUCGGGACAUUCAGAAGCUAACGGGGCGACUGGCAGCCCUCCGAAGGUUCAUCUCUCGGUCGGCAGAAAAGGCGCUCCCCUUCUUUGAAGUUUUGAAGGGAGCCAAGAAUUUUGAGUGGGGGCCGAACUGCAUAAAGGCCUUCGAAGAAAUAAAGGAAUAUCUGGUUAAAGCCCCUCUGCUGCUGAGGCCCGAUCCGAAGGAGACCCUCCAGUUGUACUUGGCAGUAAGUGACCGAACCCUUGGUGCGGUCUUGGUAAAGGAGCACGAGAAAAACCAACAUCCGGUCUUCUAUGUGUCUCAUAUGCUGAGGGAUGCCGAAACCCGAUACCCGAAUGCCGAGAAGUUCGCAUAUGGGCUGGUCAUGGCCUCCCGAAAAUUGCGACACUAUUUUCAAGGGCGAACGAUACAAGUGGUCACCGACCAACCUCUGAAGAAGAUUCUCAGCCGACCGGAGGCUUCGGGCAGAGUCGUCGCCUGGUCUGUAGAAUUGGGGGAAUACGACUUAGAGUAUGUUCCCCGAACAGCCAUUAAAGCCCAAGCCUUGGUUGACUUCAUGGUAGAGUGCCGUUUUUCCGGGCCGACGGACUUGGAACCGAAGGAACAGCUCAUUCGGACUCCUGGUAGGUGGAAGUUGUUUGUGGAUGGGUCGGUGGCCGGGUCAAAAUGUGGGGCCGGAUUGAUCCUUUCUAGUCCCGAUGGAUUUGAGAUUUGUCAAGCCAUCCGGUUCACUUUCCCUUUGACCAACAAUGAGGCCGAGUACGAAGCCCUCUUGGCAGGAGUGGGUCUAGCCAAAAAUCUGGAGGUAAGGCACUUGAGGGCUUUCAGCGACUCCAUGCUGGUUGUCAAGCACUUUUCUGGGGAGUAUGAACAGAAAGAGCCCCGAACGAAGGCUUACGCCGCUAAAGUACGCGAACAAACUCAGUUUUUCGAAACAUUUGAAUUGAGCGCCAUCGGUCGGGAAGACAAUGGCCGCGCCGAUGCUCUCUCUCGAUUAGCCUCGGCCGAAACACAGAAUUUGACGGGGUCCAUCUACUUGACGGAGGUAAAAAUGCCUUCGGUCGACAAGAAAGCUUGCCUGGAAAUUCAUCAAGGCAUAAAUUGGAUGACCCCCAUCAGAGCAUACUUGGAAAAAGGGUUCUUGCCCUUAGAGAAGAAGGAAGCCCAAAAGAUAAAGUACCGAGCAGCUAGCUACACACUGAUCGGGGGCCGACUCUUUAGGCGAUCAGUCUCUCAGCCGCUGCUCCGAUGCUUAGAUCCAGAAGAACAACUUCUAGCCCUGGAGACAGUUCAUGAAGGCAUCUGCGGCGAGCACCUGGCCGGCCGAUCCCUAGCCCUAAAGAUACUCCGACAGGGAUUCUUUUGGCCGACC